rnacentral:miRNA from 1 species
UUCUCAAGAAGGUGACAUUCAU